ensembl:lncRNA
GUUUGUAUUCCUGGAUCACUGAACUUAUUUAUGUGUUAUACUCAAUGGGGAGCGUCGCCGGGGAACGGCGUGUGUAAACACCGCAAAACACCUCGCACAGCAGGAACACACACACACACAUACACGUCUCUGCGUUACGAGCCUUUCUGUCUGCGCUCGAGGGAAUUUAAAAAUGCACAGAUUCGAGUGAAACACACGAGACUGUUUCACGCCGUUAAGAAGCUUAACGAGCUAAACGGCCUCGUUCACAUUAAUAUAAAACGAGACGUACGACUCACGAUCCCCGUGGAGACCGCGAUAAAUAAGAGCGCAAUAACUACUCAGAAAGGUCGCUGAAAAAUAUUAAACGUGUGAAUGUUGGUUUUUUUUUAGGGAGUCAUAAAUGAAGCAUGAGGCGAGGUGUUAGCAAGGUUAUUGUAGUUAGCACAAAAUAAAACCACAAAAAAAAACUGAAAUAGAAUGAUUUACUAAAAUUAAAAUGUUACUGUCUUUUUGUUUUGUUUUGUUUUGUUUUUUGUAUGACUUUUCGUACUCAAAGCUAAAAUUAUUCAACUAUAACCGUAAAUUAUACAUAAAAGCUUGAUUAAAUGUAGCUUUCUGAGGAAAAACAAUACAGCUAGAAAAGGACUAUUUACUAACUAAAACUGACUUUUAAAAGGUCAACUGAAACAAAUAUAAAAAUUUAAACUUGCUUAUUUUAAAAAAUAACCUAUAAUAAUAAAAAGAGAAAUACUAGCAUUGGAGUAGACAUGCUAAACAAUAAACUAGUGUCACAAUAGAGCUGGCAUAAUACUGACAAACUAGCAUUAGAGUAAACAAGUUAACUCCUGAACUAAUAUUACAGUAAACAAGCUAACUCAAACUAGCAUUACAGUAAACAAGCUAACUCAUGAACUAAUAUUACAGUAAACAAGCUAACUCAAACUAGCAUUACAGUAAACAAGCUUACUCAUGAACUAAUAUUACAGUAGACAAGCUAACUCAAACUAGCAUUACAGUAAACAAGUUAACUCAUGAACUAAUAUUACAGUAAACAAGCUAACUCAUGAACUAAUAUUACAGUAGACAAGCUAACUCAAACUAUCAUUACAGUAAACAAGCUAACUCAAACUAUCAUUACAGAAAACAAGCUAACUCAAACUAGCAUUACAGUAAACAAGCUAACUCAAACUAGCAUUACAGUUAUCAAGCUAACUCAAACUAUCAUUACAGUAAACAAGAUAACUCAAACUAGCAUUACAGUAAACAAGUUAACUCAUGAACUAGCAUUACAGUAAACAAGCUAACUCAAACUAGCAUUAAAGUAAACAAGUUAACUCAUGAACUAGCAUUACAGUAAACAGCUAACUCAUGAACUAAUAUUACAGUAAACAAGCUAACUCAUAGACUAGCAUUACAGUAAACAAGCUAACUCAUGAACUAAUAUUACAGUAAACAAGCUAACUCACAGACUAGCAUUACAGUAAACAAGCUAACUCAAACUAGCAUUACAGUAAACAAGCUAACUCAAGCUAUCAUUACAGUAAACAAGCUAACUCAAACUAGCAUUACAGUAAACAAGCUAACUCAAACUAGCAUUACAGUUAUCAAGCUAACUCAAACUAUCAUUACAGUAAACAAGCUAACUCAAACUAGCAUUACAGUAAACAGGUAACUCAUGAACUAGCAUUACAGUAAACAAGCUAA